UAAGGUAGGUCGUCUUAUCAGACUGGCUUCUUUCACUUAGUAAGAGAAGAGUCAUUUGUGUCUUGUUAUGGCUUGAUACUUCAUUUAUUUUUAUUGUUGAAUGAUAUCCGUCGUAUAGAUGUAUUACAAUUUCUUUACUCGUUCACCUAUUUUAGAAUGUCUCGAUUGCUUCCAGUUUGUGGAGCUAAUGAAUGAAGCUGCUGAUAAUAAGUUUAUGUGUGAACAGAAGUCUUCAUCAGUUGGGUAAAUACCUGGGAACUCAAUUUACCACAUCAUAUGAUAAGACUCUAUUUAGCCUUGUAAGAAAUUUGUGAAACUGUCCUGCAAAGGGACUGGGCAUUCUGCAGUCCUCGCUCCAACACAUGGGACUUCUGCUGUCCCAGUCUCCCAGCUUCCGGUGACGUCAGCGUGGGAAUUAUAGCCACUCUGACAGGAGGGACGGCCUGCUGUGUGUGUUUGAACUGCUGUCACUGUGUUCUAGGCUCUGUCCUCAAUAUUAUAUCAUCAGAUACCCAGGGCUGGUGCUGUAUCCACUUCCUGACCUCUAGAGAGAAAUAUAGAGCCGCUGGAAACAUCAGAUGUACAAAUAAUUUACAUAAACAGUCACCUGAGUCUUAAACAAUAACAGCACGUCGAUGAUGAAUGGACUCAAAUACACUUGGGGGGAAUAUGUAUGAAGAACAUGAAGUGAAGCUCCCAAGCUUAUGGGGAGACCUAGUGAUUAGCCACAGUUAUUUCCAUAAAGGGAUUUUUUCUUUUUAAAGAAAGACAUGUUUUCAUUCUGGCAAAAAUAAAA